rnacentral:piRNA from 1 species
AAAGAAGGCAUUAAACAGAGCUUUUAAAGGU